AUUGAACGCUGGCGGCAGGCCUAACACAUGCAAGUCGAACGGUAACAGGAAGCAGCUUGCUGCUUUGCUGACGAGUGGCGGACGGGUGAGUAAUGUCUGGGAAACUGCCUGAUGGAGGGGGAUAACUACUGGAAACGGUAGCUAAUACCGCAUAACGUCGCAAGACCAAAGAGGGGGACCUUCGGGCCUCUUGCCAUCGGAUGUGCCCAGAUGGGAUUAGCUAGUAGGUGGGGUAACGGCUCACCUAGGCGACGAUCCCUAGCUGGUCUGAGAGGAUGACCAGCCACACUGGAACUGAGACACGGUCCAGACUCCUACGGGAGGCAGCAGUGGGGAAUAUUGCACAAUGGGCGCAAGCCUGAUGCGGCCAUGCCGCGUGUAUGAAGAAGGCCUUCGGGUUGUAAAGUACUUUCAGCGGGGAGGAAGGGAGUAAAGUUAAUACCUUUGCUCAUUGACGUUACCCGCAGAAGAAGCACCGGCUAACUCCGUG
rnacentral:rRNA from 1 species